rnacentral:rRNA from 1 species
UUAUACAGCGACUGCGAAUGGCUCAUUAUAUAAGUUAUCGUUUAUUUGAUAGUACCUUACUACUUGGAUAACCGUGGUAAUUCUAGAGCUAAUACAUGCUAAAAAUCCCGACUUCGGAAGGGAUGUAUUUAUUAGAUACAAAACCAAUGCCCCUCGGGGCUCUCUGGUGAUUCAUGAUAACUCGUCGAAUCGCACGGCCUUGCGCCGGCGAUGGUUCAUUCAAAUUUCUUCCCUAUCAACUUUCGAUGUUUGGGUAGUGGCCAAACAUGGUGGCAACGGGUAACGGAGGGUUAGGGCUCGACCCCGGAGAAGGAGCCUGAGAAACGGCUACUACAUCCAAGGAAGGCAGCAGGCGCGCAAAUUACCCAAUCCCGAUACGGGGAGGUAGUGACAAUAAAUACUGAUACAGGGCUCUUUUGGGUCUUGUAAUUGGAAUGAGUACAAUUUAAAUCCCUUAACGAGGAACAAUUGGAGGGCAAGUCUGGUGCCAGCAGCCGCGGUAAUUCCAGCUCCAAUAGCGUAUAUUAAAGUUGUUGUGGUUAAAAAGCUCGUAGUUGAAUCUUGGGCCUGGCUGGCCGGUCCGCCUCACCGCGUGUACUGGUCCGGCCGGGUCUUUCACUCUGCGGAACCACAUGCCCUUCAGUGGGUGUGGCGGGGAAGCAGGACUUUUACUUUGAAAAAAUUAGAGUGCUCUAAGCAGGCCAAUGCUCGAAUACAUUAGCAUGGAAUAAUAAAAUAGGACGCGCGGUUCUAUUUUGUUGGUUUCUAGGACCGCCGUAAUGAUGAAUAGGGACAGUCGGGGGCAUCAGUAUUCAGUUGUCAGAGGUGAAAUUCUUGGAUCUACUGAAGACUAACUACUGCGAAAGCAUUUGCCAAGGAUGUUUUCAUUAAUCAGGAACGAAAGUUAGGGGAUCGAAGACGAUCAGAUACCGUCGUAGUCUUAACCAUAAACUAUGCCGACUAGGGAUCGGACGAUGUUAUUUAGUUGACUCGUUCGGCACUUACGAGAAAUCAAAGUGCUUGGCUCAGGGGAGUAUGGUCGCAGCUGAAACUAAAGAAAUGACGAGGCACCACCAGGGUUGGAGCUGCCGCUAUUGACUCACACGGGCACUCACAGUC